rnacentral:rRNA from 1 species
UACGUAGGCAGCGAGCGUUGUUCGGAGUUACUGGGCGUAAAGGGUGUGUAGGCGGUUGUUUAAGUUUGGUGUGAAAUCUCCCGGCUCAACUGGGAGGGUGCGCCGAAUACUGAAUGACUUGGAGUGCGGGAGAAGGAAAGUGGAAUUCCUGGUGUAGCGGUGAAAUGCGUAGAUAUCUGGAGGAACACCGGUGGCGAAGGCGGCAUCCUGGACCAACACUGACGCUGAGGCGCGAAAGCGUGGGGAGCAAACGGGG